CCUACGGGAGGCAGCAGUGGGGAAUAUUGGACAAUGGGCGAAAGCCUGAUCCAGCCAUGCCGCGUGUGUGAAGAAGGCCUUCGGGUUGUAAAGCACUUUCAGUGGGGAAGAAAGCCUUGGGGCUAAUACCCUCGAGGAAGGACAUCACCCACAGAAGAAGCACCGGCUAACUCCGUGCCAGCAGCCGCGGUAAUACGGAGGGUGCGAGCGUUAAUCGGAAUUACUGGGCGUAAAGCGCGCGUAGGCGGUCUGAUAAGCCGGUUGUGAAAGCCCCGGGCUCAACCUGGGAACGGCAUCCGGAACUGUCAGGCUAGAGUGCAGGAGAGGAAGGUAGAAUUCCCGGUGUAGCGGUGAAAUGCGUAGAGAUCGGGAGGAAUACCAGUGGCGAAGGCGGCCUUCUGGACUGACACUGACGCUGAGGUGCGAAAGCGUGGGUAGCAAACAGGAUUAGAUACCCGUUAGUC
rnacentral:rRNA from 1 species